CCUAGAGACCGGCGCACGGGUGCGUAACGCGUAUGCAAUCUACCUUUUACAGAGGGAUAGCCCAGAGAAAUUUGGAUUAAUACCUCAUAGUAUUACGACUCGGCAUCGAGAUGUAAUUAAAGUCACAACGGUAAAAGAUGAGCAUGCGUCCCAUUAGCUUGUUGGUAAGGUAACGGCUUACCAAGGCAACGAUGGGUAGGGGUCCUGAGAGGGAGAUCCCCCACACUGGUACUGAGACACGGACCAGACUCCUACGGGAGGCAGCAGUGAGGAAUAUUGGUCAAUGGGCGCAAGCCUGAACCAGCCAUGCCGCGUGCAGGAUGACGGUCCUAUGGAUUGUAAACUGCUUUUGUACAGGAAGAAACAGUUCUACGUGUAGAACCUUGACGGUACUGUAAGAAUAAGGAUCGGCUAACUCCGUGCCAGCAGCCGCGGUAAUACGGAGGAUCCAAGCGUUAUCCGGAAUCAUUGGGUUUAAAGGGUCCGUAGGCGGUUUUGUAAGUCAGUGGUGAAAGCCCAUCGCUCAACGGUGGAACGG
rnacentral:rRNA from 1 species